rfam:TPA: Bos taurus chromosome 29, whole genome shotgun sequence.
UUCCUGGUGGUCCAGUGGCUAAGACUCUGCACUCUCAAUGCAGAGGCCCCGGGUUUGAUCCCUGGUCAGGGAA